rnacentral:rRNA from 1 species
GCCUAACACAUGCAAGUCGAACGGGUAACAGGAAGAAGCUUGCUUCUUUGCUGACGAGUGGCGGACGGGUGAGUAAUGUCUGGGAAACUGCCUGAUGGAGGGGGAUAACUACUGGAAACGGUAGCUAAUACCGCAUAACGUCGCAAGACCAAAGAGGGGGACCUUCGGGCCUCUUGCCAUCGGAUGUGCCCAGAUGGGAUUAGCUAGUAGGUGGGGUAACGGCUCACCUAGGCGACGAUCCCUAGCUGGUCUGAGAGGAUGACCAGCCACACUGGAACUGAGACACGGUCCAGACUCCUACGGGAGGCAGCAGUGGGGAAUAUUGCACAAUGGGCGCAAGCCUGAUGCAGCCAUGCCGCGUGUAUGAAGAAGGCCUUCGGGUUGUAAAGUACUUUCAGCGGGGAGGAAGGGAGUAAAGUUAAUACCUUUGCUCAUUGACGUUACCCGCAGAAGAAGCACCGGCUAACUCCGUGCCAGCAGCCGCGGUAAUACGGAGGGUGCAAGCGUUAAUCGGAAUUACUGGGCGUAAAGCGCACGCAGGCGGUUUGUUAAGUCAGAUGUGAAAUCCCCGGGCUCAACCUGGGAACUGCAUCUGAUACUGGCAAGCUUGAGUCUCGUAGAGGGGGGUAGAAUUCCAGGUGUAGCGGUGAAAUGCGUAGAGAUCUGGAGGA